ACUCCUACGGGAGGCAGCAGUGGGGAAUAUUGCACAAUGGGGGAAACCCUGAUGCAGCCAUGCCGCGUGUGUGAAGAAGGCCUUCGGGUUGUAAAGCACUUUCAGUAGGGAGGAAGGUAGUGUAGUUAACACCUGCAUUAUUUUGACGUUACCUACAGAAGAAAGCACCGGCUAACUCCGUGCCAGCAGCCGCGGUAAUACGGAGGGUGCGAGCGUUAAUCGGAAUUACUGGGCGUAAAGCGUGCGCAGGCGGUCUGUUAAGCGAGAUGUGAAAGCCCCGGGCUCAACCUGGGAACUGCAUUUCGAACUGGCAGACUAGAGUCUUGUAGAGGGGGGUAGAAUUCCAGGUGUAGCGGUGAAAUGCGUAGAGAUCUGGAGGAAUACCGGUGGCGAAGGCGGCCCCCUGGACAAAGACUGACGCUCAGGCACGAAAGCGUGGGGAGCAAACAGGAUUAGAUACCCUGGUAGCUA
rnacentral:rRNA from 1 species